AAUGUGAUGAAUGGGGUUUUAGUACUGUUAGUGGCCGGGUUGGAUCAGUGGGGACAGCAGGCACACAUAUACUUAGAGGUUUAUGCCUCGACGCAGAGGUCCAGGGCUCAAAUCCGACCUGUGGUGAUUUCCUGCAUAUCUUCCUCCUUCCUUACUCAUCUAGCUGUCCUUA